rnacentral:tRNA from 2 species
GGAUUCGUGCCUGAAGUAAAGGAUUACUUUGAUAGAGUAAAUUAUGAGGGUUCAAACCCCUCCGGCUCCU